rnacentral:rRNA from 1 species
GUGGGAAUUUCCCAUGGGCGAAAGCCUGACGGAGCAAUACCGCGUGAGGGAGGACUGCCUAUGGGUUGUAAACCUCUUUUCUCAGGGAGGAAGAUCUGACGUGUCCUGGGGAAUAAGCCUUGGCUUACUUUGUGCCCGCCGCCCCGGGAAUUAC